UUUUAUGGAGAGUUUGAUCCUGGCUCAGGACGAACGCUGGCGGCGUGCCUAACACAUGCAAGUCGAACGGAGAAUCAGCAAUGAUUCUUAGUGGCGAACGGGUGAGUAACGCGUAGACAACCUGCCUUCCAGAUGGGGACAACACCGCGAAAGUGGUGCUAAUACCGAAUAAAGUAUUUUGAGCGCAUGCUUGAAAUAGCAAAGGUGGCCUCUGA
rnacentral:rRNA from 1 species